rnacentral:rRNA from 1 species
UCUGGUGAGUAUAGGUGAGGGGAAACACACGUUCCCAUCUCGAACACGCUCGUUAAGCCCUCAACCGCC